rnacentral:lncRNA from 1 species
UUGUAUAUUUGGCACAACAUGCUCGUGUUCUAUAAAGCUCACACCAAAUCUUAAUCAUAAAGAGUGGGAAUGAGAGAGAGAAAAAAGAAGAAGAAGAAGAAGAAAAUGGGGCUGAAAAACUUCACUGCCAUUUUUCAAAAUCAGACGACCCGUUUCCUUUCAAAGGGUAGCCAAAAAGUUCCCAUACACACCCAUUAGCGAGCUUCUUCUUUACCAAAAAAAAAACUAAAAAAAUUAGAUCAUCAUUUUCAAACCACCUUCUAGCUAGAACUGGAAACAAAAAAACAGUACAGACUCUCUCAUCAGCGCUGUCUCUUUACGCCACCCUCGAGUUACUACUAUCUUGCCCCACGUUGACUCAAGGAACCAUAGCCGCUGCUUCCACAGUACCGUUAACCUGAGGUGUUCAUUACCGGAAUCAUAACACAAGGCAGGCCAGGAGCCCACUCACAUCGUCCAUGUGCAUCUUCAGCGUGCUCGUUUUACAUUCUUGCCUCUGACCUCUCUGGACUUAGCUUUAUUCAAGCACUAGCCACUCAAAAAAAGAGUGAAGAUGAGGUACGGGAUAUCCAGUGGAGCUGUCUCCAUCAUAAUCACUCAAGGUAUAAAGCUUCUACCUAUUCUCAUGUAGUUGUAAUCUUUUACAUGUGCAUGCUACUGCAAAGGCAAGCUCCCGUUUUUCCUUUAUGUGCUAUGAAGUUAACAUAUAGUGUUGUAAGGUGUGUGGAUCGUCUUUUAAGUCCUAACCUGGUCACGGGUGUUCUUUCACUUGCUACGGGUACUGAAGGGGAUGGGGUGUGAUUUUUCCUUCAAGCGCAUAUGGUCUUGAAAACUUGAUUGCAUGUCCUAAGUUCAUGUUAAGACCUUGCCUAGUUAAUUAAGAAUGCUCUUACCCAAGGUUAAAGUUCAAGAACGGUAUGAGAAUGCUCUCUCAUUUUAUUUAGAUCGCUCAUUGAUUAUAAUAUUGUUGACUUAUUUUAUUAGAUUUUAAUGUAAUUUAAUUUCUUGACUAGAAUUAUCAGUAUAUAAUUAGUUAAAAAAUUAUUUAUGAUUUUAUGAUUUUACGAUCUGAGUUUAUUUUAUAUUUUUCGUGUCGUGUCAAAAAAUAUUUUUGACAACCUUGAACCCAGGAUCUUGACUUUAUUGAUCCACAAUCCCCAAACCAUAUUCGCAAACUAAAACUUUUUUUAUAUAGUUUAAAACAAGCACCUCGUGCAUGUAUUGAUUGCUUAGUGAAUUCUUAGUUUCUCAAUGGAUUUUAUAUUCGUAAAUUUUUAAGUGAACCCAGGUUAUAUUAUCAUGAUAACUAAAAUAAAAUGAGCUAAAUUUAUUUAUAAAAUGAGCACCACACGCUUAGAUUUAAAUUCCAUAGAAAGAUUAGCACCUGAUGACAAGUUAACUCGGGAAACAAAGGUAAUAACAAUGUUUUGAGAUUGAAUUCGACACUAGGUCUACUUAGUAGUUAGUACAUAUAAGUUGAAGGAUUGCUACCUUGACCAAUGAACUGAAAAUAUCUUUAAUUUAUAAUGAAUGGCAUACACCAUACAGUUUUACCAUAUCAACAGCAUGAAAAUUGAUAAUCGAUCCUUUAGGGAUAUUAUUCCAUUUCUUUAUUAAUUAUCAUAAAAACAUUUAUUAAAUGUGUUGUCCUCCAACUCUUUCCAUAAAAAGAAAGAGUUGUGAACCACAACAUACAUUUGAUCAUGGACAAAAGGUAAUCAAAUAGUUGCCUCCACUAGGACAAGUAAACGUGCUCGAUUUAUCAUCAAAAGCAUAACUAUAAGCUUGAGGACACUGCUGCUUGAAAGUCAUCGAAUAUUGGGUAGGAGGACAUGUUUCAGCUGUAUUAUGGUCUCCUGUGCAGCAGUACUGCGGCUGGUUAAAUGCCAAACACGCACUCUUGCAGGCAAUCACAGUCCCAUCUGAACCUUUCACUGCUAAACUAGGAUCACAAACAGCAUUCACGUUAGCUGCACAGCUUGUAGAAGGGCAGCCAGUAGAACCUCCUUGCGGGGUUACCGAAAUUGGGAGGUUAAAGCCAUCAACAAGGCUUAUAUCGUAAUAAUCUUUCCCACCAUCACCGCUUAGAGUAAAUU